rnacentral:lncRNA from 1 species
ACGGAUUGUUUCCAGAUAAUAACUUUAGUAUAAGUAAAUAGAAAUCAAUAAAAUGUUAACACAAUGUUUAUAACCACAAAAGAAAGGUUGGGAUUGAUUUUGGGGGUUAUGGUUCCUAAGGUUUAGGAAUUAGGGGCCCAAAGGGCCCAAAACAAGCAUUUAUCUAGUGUCAGGACAAUAAGUUGUGUAUAAGUAUUUCAAUUGUUCUGAAAUUGUACCACAAUGUUUAAUACUAUAAGUAGAAGGUUGGGAUAUAUUUUUAAGGGUUAUGGGGCAAACAGUCUAGGAAUAAAGGGCCAAAAAGGGGCCAAAAACAAGCAUUUUUGUAGUUUCAAGGCAAUAAAUUGGGCUUAUCUUUCUUUGUCCAGAAUGGUUGUUGAAUCACCUCAAACCAAUGCUUUAUGGAAUAUUCUUUGAAAAUUAGAGUUAUCUUUCUUUGUCCAGAAUAGUAGUUGAAUCAACUUAAAUCAUUGCUAUAUACAAUAUACAAUGCAAUAUUCACUUUUACUACCAACUGAUAAAUUAAAACAAUCUUUACCGUUCAGUGAUUACAAACACUUUGAAUACCAUUCUAGGGUUAUG